AAUGGGAAGCACCUGAUCUAGCCAUGCCGCGUGAGUGAUGAAGGCCCUGGGAGGCGUAAAGCUCUUUCGCCUGUGAAGAUAAUGACUGUAGCAGGUAAAGAAACCCCGGCUAACUCCGUGCCAUGGGCCGCGGUAAUACGGAGGGGGUUAGCGUUGUUCGGAAUUACUGGGCGUAAAGCGCGCGUAGGCGGACACUUAAGUCAGGGGUGAAAU
rnacentral:rRNA from 1 species